rnacentral:rRNA from 1 species
CAAUAGCGUAUAUUUAAGUUGUUGCAGUUAAAAAGCUCGUAGUUGGAUUUCGGUUGAGAACGGCCGGUCCGCCGUUUGGUGUGCACUGGCUGGUUUCAGCUUCCUGUAGAGGACGUGCUCUGGCUUCACGGCUGGACGCGGAGUCUACGUGGUUACUUUGAAAAAAUUAGAGUGUUCAAAGCGGGCUUACGCUUGAAUAUUUCAGCAUGGAAUAACACUAUAGGACUCCUGUCCUAUUUCGUUGGUCUCGGGACGGGAGUAAUGAUUAAGAGGAACAGUUGGGGGCAUUCGUAUUUCAUUGUCAGAGGUGAAAUUCUUGGAUUUAUGAAAGACGAACUUCUGCGAAAGCAUUUGCCAAGGAUGUUUUCAUUAA